rnacentral:lncRNA from 1 species
AGAGAGGUGAGGUGAUGAAGCCCCAUGUAGUCCAGAGAUUCUAGAUUUCUGAGAUAAGGUAUUCAAGGGAGGAGGGAAGCGCCUGCUCUGAUAUGGACUCAAGCUUAGGGCAACCCUCGAUACUCAAUCUCUGAAGAGAUGUGAGGUGAUGAAGCUCCUUAUAGUCCAGAGAUUUCAGGUUUUCCAGACGAUUGAUUUCAAGGGUUGUAAGAGUAGAGGGCAACGUCUCCUCGUCAAAAGACUCCACAUCGUUCCCAGUAAAUAUGAAGCAUGAAAGAGAAGGGAGUGCUUGCAAACCACAUACCUUGAGUUUGAUACAAUCCACAAUGCAAAGUGUGUUUAAUUUGGAGGGUAAACCUCCUUCAGGAAACGAAUCAACUUCUGGAAGUGAGAUCAAUUGCAAAUCUGUAGGGAAGGGAGGAGGGAAUGCAUGUUUUCCGGCAACGACUUCAAAUAUGAGCAACCCUCUAACACAAGCCUUGUCAAAUCUGGGGCAGCUAGUCCUCCUUUGGGGAAAGACACCAAAUUAGGACAGUGACUGAUUGUCAGAUGACAGAGAGCAGGGACAGGUCUCUCGCCUAUACAAAGGGAUUCCAGAUUGAGACAAUGUUCAAUGGUAAGUGUGGAUACCUGGGGUAAAAGGUCUAGCUGGCAGCACUUAAAUGAACUACAUCUCUCGAUUUUGAUAAAAGUGAAAGAAGAGGGAUCCAAACGACUCAUUUGCUCCAUUCCCUUUAGCUGGGGAUCUUGUCUAAAAUGGAGGCACGGCGUGGAUGGUUGAUCUGAUAACCCAAACUGUCCUGUUAGCCCAUUUAUACGUCUUUCAUCGCCCUCAGAUACAUUGAUUACGCCGAGCAUGGGUGCCUCUGGAAUUGAAACCACAAGCUGUGGACAUUCUUGAAUAAAAGCUUCCAUAAACAAGGAAGGUGACUAGGCAAGGCAUUUGUUAACUUGGGGCAAUGUCUUAUGCGGAGCUCUGCAAGAUGAGGGAAAGCACCAGCUACAUCUGUUUUCCAUUCCUGCCAUUUUCGCAUCCCCUCAAACUUUAAUAUUUUGAGGGAUUUAAAUGGCUUCUCCAUCGAAGGGUCACUUCCAUAGAACUCAGAACCAACUGCCACGACUUCAUCAAAUCCUUCAAUAUGGAGCUCUUCUAGAGAUGGCAGCUGCCCCAAUGGUGGUAAGAGGAUGCAGUUCUUACAUCCAUAAAGAAACAACACUACCAUAUUUGAGAAAGAAGAGUUUCCAAGCCAGCCUGGAAACGUUGUACCCCGUAACCAGUAAUGGCAAGCUGUUUCACAUUUUCAGAAGGCUCCAAUUUCUCAAGUACUUCUCUCUCGUGUGGUGUGUCAUCCGUAUUGCCAUCCCACGUCAACCCCAACUCCUCAAUCUUCUUCUUACCCUUCAAAUCGGCAUCCAAAGCAUCUUGAGCAUUUGCAACAUCUCUGAGAUUCCGAAUAGAAAGUUUUUUCCUUAUAUGUGAGAGCUUCCCCAACUCUUUCAUGCUAGACCCGCUAUCUUUUCCCACGAUGUAAGAUUCCAAAAUUCGAAGCUUCGUGAGUUUCCCCAUUUUUGGUGGCAUCUCUUUCAAAUUUGUCCCUUCAAUAUCAAGAUGUUGUAAGUCGACCAAGUUGGAAAGGUUGGAUGGCAACUCCAUGAGAUGUCGGCACUCUUUAACAAUAAGCUUUGCAAAUAGUACAAGGUGCACACACUUUCAGGUAACCUUUCAAUGGCGGUGCAAGAAAGGUCCAAGUGCCGCAAAUGUUUUCAAGUUGCCAAUGGAAUUGAGCAACUGAGAAGAAAUAUCUUUUAGAUGAAUAAAGAUAGCAUUCGCAAGCGCUUAAGAUUUGGCAAGAUGUCAUUCAGUGCCUCAUAUCACUUCCCUUAAAAACAUAGUGGAAACAAGGCGCGCAAAUGUUGGACUCCAUGAAUGCUACGAAAUAUCCGAAGUCCUCGUCAUAUGCUCCUGAAGUGAUUGAUAAAUAACGAGUCCUUUCUGGAAGCGAGCAUGAAUGUUCACCCUCCAACCCAGAGCCCGAUUCAUUAAUACCAAGCUUAAAGCAAAAUUCUCCUGACACGUAUUCAGCUAAAUCACUUAUGAUGUCAUGCAUGCUGAAAUCUGAUUGAACAUGAAGUGAUUGCUGGAAAAGUGACCUGGAGACAAGAUCAUCAAAGUAUUUUUCACCUAUAUCUUCCAUCUCCUCAACUCCUCUGGACUGGCCUAAAAAACCAUGUGCCAUCCAUUCAGUGAUUAAUCCAUUUUUCUUGAAUACAUAACUCUUGGGAAAUAUUGCACAAUAAACAAAACAACGUUUCAGGUGUGAAGGGAGAUAAUAAUAGCUCAAUGUUAGAGCUGGAGGGAUGUUUUCAUUCGACAAUCCCCACAAACUGCUAUUGGAUAUCUUCUCCCAUUGCCUGACAUCUCCUACGGAGUGCAAAAGACCCCCAAGAGUUUUCGCUGCCAGCGGUAAACCUUUGCACUUUCUCGCUAUUUCUCUGCCAAAUGCUUCCAAGUGUGAGACUGCUCCAGAAUUUACACCACUAAAUGCAUCCCUUGCAAACAAUUUCCAGCAAUCUUCAUCGCUUAUUACAUCCAAGCGGUGAGAGGGGAUGACUGUUUGCGUGACUUUUGCUACAUCUUCAUUCCGUGUUGUCACGACAAUCUUACUUCCGUGCUCCACAUACAGCAAAGGUAGCAGUAGUUUAUCCCAUUCAUUGUACUUAAUGUUCCACGCGUCAUCUAGAACAAGUAGAAGUUUCUUCCCUUUCACUGCCUCCAUUAGAGAUUCAUCUGGUUCUUUGGUGCGGCAAGUACUUGCGUUGAUCUUAUCAAGAAUAUCCUUAAUAAUCCUGGCAACAUCAAAUUGUUGGAAGCCCAGACCCAGGCUUUGAGCUCGAAGCACUCAUCUAUCGUUGUAGAUAAGCUGAGCAAGAGUGGUUUUACCAAUCCCGCCCAUGCCCACAAUGGAACGCACAACUAAAUUUGAGCCAUCUGUGUUGUGUUGUGUCAACAAGUGCUCCAUUAUGGCUUCCUUAUCAGCGUCCCUUCCAUAUACAUAGAGAUUCAUUAACCAGUGGAGUUGUUUUCUCUGACAAUGGUCUCCAUCCACCAGUACCUUCUAUGUGGCGCAGAUCACCCUUGUGUUUAAGUAAACGUUCAAGCUUCUCAAGGAUCUUUUGUAACUCUGCUUCCAUCUCUUUCAUCCUUCUAUUAGCUGGAUUUAGAAAUGGAAACCGAUCCUUACCUGCAAUGGUGGACUAAAUAUGUGAGAUAGAAUUCAGGAAAACAUUAUAAUUUAUAAUAUCAAAACAUAAACAUUAAGAUUUUUACAUCUAGUGAAUUAAUAAGUUAAUACCAUUAAAUUGUUGAUGCUAUAAACAUUAAGAUUUUUACAUCUAGUGAAUUAAUAAGUUAAUGCCAUUAAAUUGUUGAUGCUAGCUUAACGUAAUUAAGCAGUGAAAGUCAAGUUUUAAAAAGAUAUUGAUUCAAUGCCAUAAGUGAUUUUCAUAGCCCUUACUAUAUAAUAUUAUUUAUAUAUAUAUAAUGAAAUUAAUUUUUUUUCUAAAAUAAAAAUGGAAAAAUAAUUGUUUAGCAAUUAAAAAGUAAAGUAUUUAUUUUUCAUAUUUAAAAUAAAGAUAUGAGCCUUUCAUGUAUAAAACAUCAUUCCAAUUUCUAAUUGUGCUAACAAAAAAUCAAUGCAUAAUUCUUGGUGAUUAUUAUAUAUAAUUACUAAGAAAUUUAAUAUUUAUAAUAAUGGGUUUUGAAUCUCGUAAGUCCUAACUAUUCAUCACUAAAAAUAUUGAAAGACAAUUCAAUUUUAUAUCCCUUAUAUUUUCAUAAAAAAGUAAGAGUCAUUCAUGUUCUCAUAAAAAUAUAUAUAAUUUAAUUGACAAAAUUUAUAUAAAUAAUUCAGAUUUUAAAAAUAUAGCAUUUUGGAUUUUAAAAAAAACAAACAAACAAAUAGAGGGAUCAAUACAAACAUUUUAUGAGGAAGCAAGGUCUCUAGGUGCAAGAACUUAUGCUUACCCAAUUGCUGUCAGGUCGAGGGGCAUCAAUGUCCUUGGAUCGUAGAUAUUCAUAAUCAAUCUCCUCCGAUAUGUCCUCAGCUUCAUAGACAGCGUGUUUAACAUCAUUAAGCCACUUCUUCACAGCACGAUUUGUAAUCUGCUUCUCCUCCGCAUCGUCGAGUAGUCCGUUGACAGUAUUCAGUGUUUCAUUCAGCUUUUCCAGAAGACCAUCAUCGAGUUUGUGGCUUUGGAAGAAGCCCAGAACCUCACGAGAGGCCAACCUGUCGACCAGAACCUCAAUGAGAGCAGAGAGAAUUGAUCCUCCGAUCAACUCCAGAGACAUGGUGGAUUUUUGCAGAAGGGUGAGGGUGGGAAUAUGUGAGAGAAAAGGAGUUGUGGAAAGCAGGAGCCUUGGUGGAUUUUUGCUAAAGGGUGAGAGAGUGAUUAUGUGAGAGAGAAUGAUAAGCCAAAUAGAAAACCCGAGGAAGCCGGCUUCGAGUGUGUUUGUCCUUGACGCAGUGUAUGCGUUUUCUCUCAAUGUAUAGAAAUGAUGGGCCCACUGCCCAAGGUUGGAACUUGGAUAUGAAAAAGAUUUUUUUUUUUCUGCUUUUUACAUGCUGGAUCACAGGUUAAACCUUCUUGAUCUGCUAAAAAAAACAUUCAAAAAUUAUCUUUGCAUCCUUUUUCUUUCUCCUAUCAUUCAUUACAAUUGCUUGUCUUUCUUUGAACAAUACAAUUGCCCAGAAAAUUCUGGUUUUGCUAUCAACAUGAUACAAUAGCAAUGAACAAGUCUAUUUCAUUAAAAAUUCAGAUUUGUAAUUUACUCGUAAACUAGUCGACUUAUCAGGUCAACCUGAAACUUGAAUGACUCGGUAAAAUACUAGUAAAGACCAUUUUCUUCAAAUGUAUUUUUUUCUCCUAUCUAGGAACCUUUUAUAUAUUUUAUUUUUUUUAUUUAGUUACUCAUUUCAAAAUUCACUAUAUAAAUAUUAGAAGAAUAUUUUAUUUUUUUAAUGUGAUAUUUUGAAGCCCUUUAAUAUAUAUACUUUAUGUUCUUCAAAAAAAAAUUAUGUUUUUUCAAAUGUAGAAUAAAAAACCUUUUUUGUUUAAAUACUUCAACUUAAAAAAAUAAGAUAGUAUAUUUUCAAAGUAGAAUAAAAAAUCUUUUGAAAUAAUCUUUUAAACUUAAUUGCUUACAACAUGUAUAGCCUAUAUCCAUAUAGAUUAUUUUUUAUUUUUUUAUAUAAAAUAUUAAAACCUCAUAUUUUUUUAAUUUUUCCUGAUUGACCCGAGUCAACCCAUGUAAACUAGGACCUAGCCCCUUAGUCGGGUUAAUCCUUAGGCUGAGUUUGAUAACCAUGAUUGUCAUGAGAAUACAACUUUAAAAAUGCAAUUAAAAAGAAAUAAAGUGAUGUGAACAGUUAAAAAAUCAAAUAAAUAGAUAAAACCUUUUCUUUUUUAUUUUAUUAAGGGCCUCUUUUAAUUAUUUUUUUUAUUAUGUGUUUAGAGAUAAAUUUAUGGACACUAAAAUCAACAUUUUUUAUUCUUGAAAUACAACUCACCAAAAUACCUUUUUAUAUAUAUCUAACGACUUUCUAUUUAUACUCAUGACAUCAAAAAAUUGAAAUACGAGGAGAAUGAAGUUUUAGAAUUAAAUAUAAAUAGCUAAAACUACAAGAAUAAAAGAAAAAACUUUAGGAACCCAAAUGAACUUUUAUGAGAAUUUCAAGGAUCAAAACUCAAUAUUCAGAUAGUAAAACGAGUGGGAAAUGAAGUUUAAAACUAAAAUGUAAACACAUAAAACUACUAGGAUUAAAAAUAUUUUUUUAAAAAACUUCAUUUGGUAUUACUCUUAGAACGUAAUUGGUACAAGGCUUAAAAAUAUGGGUGAAAUUAUCACAUAAAUAAUAAUUAUUAUUAUAAGAGCAAAUUUAAAAAGUGUAAAUGUUGGUUUUUAAAAAUGACUGAUGUAUUUGAACAGUUAAAUACUUGUGAAAAAAAGAGAGAAUAAUUUAAUAAUUAACUUCAACUUUUCCAUUAAUUAAUUAAGAUCUAAAAAAUCCAAAAAUUAUAAGUUUCUAAUAUAAAGUUAAAAAAUUUACAUAUAUAUAAAAAAGAUAUUUCAUAAAAUUCUAUUUUUUUUUAAUAAUUCACAGAAACUCAAUGCAAGACUUCAUAUGUUGAAUCUUCUCAUUAUCAACACUUUCAAAUAUAUCUUUUUUGAUAUAAGUAACCAAACAAUCAUUAAAUAAAUUAUCCCCAACUCGAUUGUGUAAUCGACUUUUGACUAAUUUCAACGUUGAAAAUAUUCUCUUUACUGAUGCAAUAACCACGCGUAAAAUUAAUGCUAAAUUUAUCACGUAAUAUAUGUUAUUUAUUAAAUUUAUUACUUAUAUAUUAAAAUGUAUGGGAUUUUCACCGUGUAUUUGUUAUUAUACAAUUUUUUUUUUCAGUUUAUCCAUGACAACUAGAGUGCCGAGCUCAAAAUGCUAGGGUCUGACAUAGUACCCGACCUAAUUACCAAACCCUAGAUUUGGUAACUAUGCAAGACCCAAGCAUCCCUUGCAAACAACUCCCAGCAAUAUUCAUAGCUUAUUGCAUUCAAGCGGUGAAAGGGGAUGACAGUUUGCGUGACUUUUGCUACAUCUUCUUCCCGUGUUGUCACGACAAUCUUACUUCCGUGCUCCACAUACCGCAAAGGUAGCAGUAGUUUAUCCCAUUCAUUGUACUUGAUGUUCCACGCGUCAUCUAGAACAGGUAGAAGUUUUUUCCCUUUCACUGCCUCCAUUAGAGAUUCAUCUGGUUCUUUGGUGCGGCAUGUACUUGCGUUGAUCUUAUCAAGAAUAUCCUGAAUAAUCCUGGCAACAUCAAAAUAGAUAACAACUACUGUAUAAAUAAUAAUUUUUAAAAUUUUUAAUUGAAAUCUAUUUUUUAAUCUAAUUAUUGGACACAUAUGAACAUUUUGACUCAUAAUUAAUUUUUUUAAAAAAAAUUCAUAAAAUUAUAAUUUUUAUGUGAAAUAAUCCACUGUUUAAUACAAUAAACUUCAAUUAAAUGACCAAUUAAGCUAGAUGAUUGAACUUUCAAUUAAUUUGUUAACUUGCGCUAACAUUUACCAAUGUUACUGUUUGAAAAUGUAAAAGUAAGCUAUUUCACUAAAAAAAAAUUUCGGUCUAGCAUCACUAAGCCACCUCUGCACAGCAGGCUUGGUAAUCUGUUUCUCCUCCGCGUCGUCGAGAAGUCCGUUGAGAGUAUUCAGUGUUUCUUUCAACUUUCCGAGAAGACCAUCAUUGAGCUUGUGGCUUUCGUCUCAUUUGCCCUGAAACCAAGCAUACGUUGUGGAAUUGAAAAGUAAGCAAGAGUUGCAAUAAAUCUCGUAAGUUAUGGAUUGAUUUGGUUCUACGAGGAUUAAUAUCACAACCAGCUUUGAAAAGCGAUAUGUUUUUGAUUUUUUGUUGUUUUUUUUAAAUGUUUUUUAAUUAAAAAUAUAUUAAAAUAAUAUUUUUUAUUUAUUAAUUAAAAAUAAAUUAUUUAAAAUAAAGAAAACAAUUAAAUUUUUUUUAAAAAAAAAAUUUAAAAUGUAAAAAUAAACAGCCUUGAAGAAGGUUUUUGAGAGUAUAGUAAUACUUGCUUUUAAAAAAAAAAAUUUGCUUAUGUGUGAGAGCUUCCCCAGCUCUUUCAUGCUAGACCCGCUCUCUUUUCCCACAAUGUAAUAUUCCAAAUAUCGAAGCUUUGUGAGUUUCGUUAUUUUUGGUGGCAUCUCUUCCAAAUUUGUCCCUUCAAUAUCAAGAUAUUGUAGGUUGACCAAGUUGGAAAUGUUGGAUGGCAACUCCAUGAGAUGUCGGCACUCUCUUAACAAUAGAGUUUGCAAAUAGUACAAGGUGCUCACACUUUCAGGUAACCUUUCAGUGGCGGUACAAGAAAGGUCCAAGUGCCGCAAAUGUUUUAAGUUGCCAAUGGAAUUGAGCAACUGAGAAGAAAUACUAAGGCCCCGUUUGUUUGCAGGAAAGUAAAUUCCUUUUGGAAAAUGAAUUCCGGGGAAAGUGAAUUCCUGGAAAGUGAAUUCCGGGAAAGUAUUUUCCGAUGUUUGGUAGUGUUAUAGAAAAUACUUUCCAGUGUUUGGUUGUGUUAUGAAAAAUAAAUUGGAAAAUAAUUUAUUAAUAAAUUAAUUUUUUUUUCAAAUUUAUCUAAUAUAUAUAAAAUAUUUAAUAUAAAAUAUUUAAUCACUUACAAUAAACAAAAUAAAAUCUAAAAUGUAUAAUGAUGAAUUUUUUUUAUUAUUAUAUUCUAUAUUCAUACAUAGCUUAUUUUAUAAAAUAUAACUAUAUAUAUCAUAUCAUAUUAUAAAGAAAUAAGCUUGUGAAAUAUUUUUUACUAUUCUAUGAAACCAUUUAUAAUUUCAUUACAUACGAAAUACAUCCGACAAAAACUAUAGUUUUAAUAAUAUUUUUAGCAUGUAAUAAAAUUGGAUAAAAUAUUAAGGUAUAAAAUUCACUCUAAACUAUUUUUUUUUAAUGUUAAAAAAAUAGCACACUUAUAUUUAUAUAUAUAUAUAAAAAAAAAAAAAAACGGAACAGUGCACUAAAACUGCACUGUUCACUCUUUUUUAGUGAACAGUGUAUGCAAUACACUGUUCAUUGUAAUUGCACUGUUCAAUGAACAGUGCAAUUACCAUGAACAGUUACAGAAAAACACGCAGCUGGCUCAGGAAAGUGUUUUCCGAGAAUUAAAAACGGAAAACACUUUCCUUAUGUUAAACUUAACAUUUUCCUUUGACUGGAAUUAACUUUCCUUUGACUAACUUUCCGGAUGGUUGCCAAACACUGGAAAAUGAGGAAACUGAAUUCCUGGAAUUCAGUUUCCUUGAAACAAACAAGGCCUAAGAGAACAAACAUAUAGACUUUUAAAGGAAAAGAAAAGAAGAAGAUUCAUGGAAGCCGGUUUUAAACUUCCUAACAAUAUUAAAUUAUUUAUAUUAUAUUCACACUUGGUAAAAUUACUAGCCACAACCUUCUUUGCCUCCACUAAUUUCUGAGCAAGAUCAUCGAUUCCUUUUUAUCUCUGGAAAUUCUUCACAAGAUCUCAGGUUAAGAAUAUAAGUUUCGAGUUGAUUAUAAAUUGUUACAAGCUUAACCAUGUAAGCCGGCCGUGCUGGCAUCCCUGACUGUUUGCCGGGGAUCAUUUUGUAAUGAUUUUCUCGUCGGACGUGAUCUUUCUUCUCUACUGUAUUAAUGAUGCAUCAUUUAGUACAAAUCUUUACAUCUUGAAAAGCACCGAUGAAAAUGCAUCUGAUGUUCUCUGAACGUGAAUCUACAAUGGCCUUCGGGCGGCAAUUUGGGUCCUACUUGUAUUGGCUUCUUCUGCUUUAUUUCCUUCUCUAAUAACAGGGGAUGUCCACAGAUUUUCCAUUACAGGACCUGAUCAUCACAUAUGCUUUGUUAUUUGAUAGCAAUUUUCCACUUCUGCGGUCCAUUCCUACCAUCUAUUUGAAAUCUGUGACAUCCCACCAGCUCUUGAAAAGAAGGGUGCAGUGCAGAACCCUACCAUUCUAUGAAAUGUUAGGAGAUGAGGUCAAGAUUUCUGAGUCAUGAAGUUGUCGAUUCUUGCGAAAGGGUGAGAGAGAGAGAAUGAUAGAAGUAGAAAGCUAAUAAACCACGGAAUUCCAUGAUGGGAACACGUGGACUUUAAAGGAAAGGAAGAGACAAGAAAACGCGUGGAAGCGGUAUGUAUAAAUAAAUUUGAUAAUCGAAUAAUAAAAAAGAUAAUUUAUGUGUUUAAUACAAUAAAUUUAAAAAUAUAUAAACAGUUAAACCGUAAAAAUUAUUAUGGAUUAAUUAUCUUCUUGUGGACAUCCAUAAAAUAUUAAUAAUAAGUUUUUUACAUGAGAAGAAUGAUAAAUGAUAAAUUAUAAAUUUAAUAUAUAUUAAAAUAAAAUUAACUUAAUUAGAUAUAUAAAAAUUGAUGAAAGAAAUAUUUUAUAAUAUAAGAAACAAAUCAAGUCGUUAAAUAGAUAAAAUGUUGAUAGCAACCAUAUUCAUUGCACAUUUAAAUUAAUCCUAGAAAUUUUAAAAGUUGUAGUUUAAUUGGUUAAAUUUUAGAUUUUUUUUAAAAAAUUACUGGUUUGAAUUUUAAAAUUUUAAAAUCAUUAAAAAUUUAUAUAAUUAUUAAUUUUAAAAUUUAUAAAAUUAAUUGAGAUAUUGGUGUAAAUAUCAAUAAUACGCUGCCGUGGAUAGCACAUAACUUGGUGCAUCGGAAGCACGAUGUUAAUUUCCAGAGCCACCAAUGAUGCGCCGCCGUGGAUAGCAAAGACGAGUUAAUUUUAGGACUCUUUUGACUAUUCUUCAUGCAAAUAUUUUUUAAAAAAUUAUAAAAUAUAAUUUUCAAUAUAAAAAUAAAUUGAUGUAUUGCCAAUGUGGAAACCCAAAGAAUAUACAACCUUGGUGAAAUUAACAGGUGAAUACGACCGUGCCCUUUCAUUUUUCCAUGCCAAACGCUCCAGAGAGCUAGCGUUCUCUUCUUUGGUUUAUUGACCGUGCAUGUCCCUUACAUAAGGGAAUUUUUAUUUUUGUGAUGUAAAAGUAUUUUUGAAAAAAAAUUAUUAUUUUUCAGUUUUAUUUCAAAUUAAUUUUCAAAAUGAAUCUUUAAUUGUGGCAUUCACUGGGUUCUUCAAGAAUUUAGCACAUGACAUGUUAAGUUUUCAGUAAUUAAAAAAAAAGGGCCAAAUGUUUUCACCUCGGGCCACACCGAAAUGAUAGGCAGGAUUGCCGUCACCGUCACGGGCAAGAAGGAUCCGACAUGUACAAUAUUAAAUUCAUGGAAGCCGGUUUAAAACUUCCUAACAAUAUUAAAUUAUUUAUAUUAUAUUUAGGGCUGGGUCACAAAAUAAAUUUUUUUAAAAAAACUAAAUUAAAAAAAAAAACUUAAAAGGCCAACAUUUCAGUUAUUUUAUUAUUUGAGCUGAAACUAUAAACAUUGUUAAAAAAAUUGUUGAAAAAAAUUUCCUUACAAGGCCGGAGUCGUUGCCUGCCUCCUAUCUCCGCCACUGAUCAUAUCCAUACUUGGUGCUCAAUGUAUUAAUCUUUUAUAUCAGCAUGAUUAAGGCAUCAUCAAGUGGAUUAAGUUUGGAUUGACUGUCUUCAAAUGGGCAUAAAUAAGAUAAGAAUAAUAAGUUUUCAUCCAUGCCUUUAAGAUGAAGGAUGGACCCGAGUUUUAAAGUAUAAAAUAAUAUAAAUAUAUAACUAAAUUAAUUAAGAUUUAAAAAAUCUAAAAAUUAUAAGUUUCUAAUAUAAAGCUUAAAAAUUUAUAUAUGUAUUAUAAAAAGAUGAUUUAUGAAAUUUUAUUUUUUUAUAAUUUAUAAUUGUUCUUUGUAAGAUUUUAUAUGCUGAAAACAUUGUAGGAUUUUCUCAUUAUUAACACUUUUAAAUAUAUCUUUUUUUAUAUAAUUAACCAUAAUCAAACAAUCAUUUAAUUAAUCAUACAAUCAUUUAAUCAAUCAUCUCUGAUUCGAUUGCAUAACCAGCUUUUAAUCAAUUUUAUCGCUGAAAAUAUUCUCUUUAUUGAUGAAGUGUUUUGUAUCCAUCAAUUUUUAAGCAAGAUCAUUUAUUCAUUUUACCUUUGUAAAUUCUUCACAGGAUCUCAUGUCAAGAAUAUAAGUUUCAAGUUGAUUAUAAGUGCUGCAAGCUCAACUAUGAAGAAAAUACAUGGAUAGAAUUAAGCAAGAUGAAUCAACUUUUGCUUAUCACAGGCCAUUAUUUGCCACUCCAACACUACAAAGGGAAAGACUCUUUUCCUUGGCCAACAAGCUAUAUUGGCUACAGUUUUGCCUCGGGUGUAUCAUUUAUUAUUAUUUUUUUUUUUACAAAAAAGUACUUUGAUGCUUUCAAAUUGAUUCAUCAACUUUUAUAUAUAUAUAUAUAUAUAUAUAUAUAUAUAUAUAUAUAUAUAUAUAUAUAUAUAUAUAUAUAUAUAUAUCUUUUAGAUCGUUUUGAUGCGCUAAUCUUAAAAAUAAUUUUUAAAAAUAAAAAAAAUAUCAUUUUAAUGUAUUUUAAUAUAAAAAAACUUUGAAAAACAAUUGUAAUUACACUACCGAAUACUCAUGGGAUAUAAAAUUGUGACCUCAGGGAACAAGUCAGCUUAUUGAGGAGAAGUAGAAAUAUGAGCAUUACAAAUCAAGCCUGCUUGAGCUUCCUCUAGGCAAUCAAGUUAAAGACUAAAUUUGAUGCAAAGUACAAAUCUUAAUAGAACUCGUUGAAAAUAAUUUAGAUAAUUUUUUUCUUAAUUUCCUUAUAUUGUUGGCAAAAAGUUUGCGAAAAGGUGGCAAACUUGUUCGCAAUACAGAGUUCCAAGUACAACAACACAUGCAAGCAAACAUCCGACUCUGUCAAGAUCUCUGGAUCUGUUGCUUGCACUGGGAUCAAACAUAUCAUUUUGGAUGUCCUGAUUUUUGAAAUGCUGCAUCGUUGGCCAGCAGUUAUCCCUUUCAGGUUUUACCUUAAUUUUCUUUUCACUUUGCCAGCAUCCUCAUUUCAUCCUGGCCAUAGGCCAUCUAUCGAGUUUAAUCCUGAACAUAGAUCCAUCAAGAAUAUAAUGCUAUUAGUAUUAAGCAUCUGUUAAAUAUUCUGAUCAAAGUUUUUCUUUUAAAUAUCUCAUAAAAUACCAUGUUAGCAAGAUCACUAUUGUUCUUGUUUUCAUUUCUUAAUAACUCUGCUUUGAAAACAGAAUCUCAAAUUACUUUAAACCUCAACAGAAAACAAUAAGAAAACAGGAAUUAUGAUCUUGGGCUGGCAUUUGCUGAUUCACUGUAAAUCAUGCCUUUGUUUUUGAACAAAUUGCUGGGAACCUAUCUCUACCUAAUGUGGUGAUGGGCUGUGCGGUGAAGAUCUGUUGUGUGAAAAUGCCAUGCUCCAAAAAUAGAAUUUAAAACAAAGCAGAUGCAAGGCAGAGAAUUUAGUAAAUACCGGAGCACGUUGGACAAAUGACAGGAGAGUGUUACUGCAUAAUUCUUCAUCCUCUAAUUAGAAAUUUUUAUACUGUGGAUGUGAGAAAUUUUGGGCCAAUUUUCCCCCGUCUCCCUUUCACACCUUGUGGCCAGCAAAGGACAACCGAUAAUCUUAAGAUAUUCAAGGGAGGAGGGCAGCCCUUCUUCUGGCAUGAACUCAAGCUUAGGAGAAUGCGAGAUCAACAAUUUGCGAAGAGAGGUGAAGUGUUGAAGCCCCGUAUAGUUCAGAGAUUUAAGAUUUCUGAGAUCUGAGAUUUGAAGAGAUUCAAGGGAGGAGGGCAGCCCCUCACCUGGCACGGACUCAAGCUUGGGAGAACUAGAGAUACGUAAUUUACGAAGGGAGGUGAGGUGCCGAAGCCCCUUAUAUUCCAGAUCUUCAAGAUUCAAGAUUUCAAGGUUUUCAAGGGAGGAGGGAAGCAUGUCUUCUGGAAGGGACUCCAGCUUAGGACUCUUGAGAAUCAAUGUGCGAAGAGAGGUCAGGUGCUGAAGCUCCUUGUAGUCCCGACCUCGUUGAUCCCAUAAUUGAAGGCAUUCAAGGGAGGGAGGCAGCCCCUGCAACGAUGCAAGCUUUGGACAAUUCCAGAUCUUCAAUUUGCGAAGAGAGGUGAUGCGCUGAAGCCCAUGGUUCCAGAGAUUCCAGUGUCAUGACAUGAAGGUAUUCAAGGGAGGAGGGAAGCGCCUGCUCUGAUAUGGACUCAAGCUUAGGGCAACCCUCGAUACUCAAUUUCCUAAGAGAGGUGAGGUGAUGAAGCCCCUUAUAGUCAAGAGACUUCAGAUUUCCCAGACGUUUGAUUUUAAGGGUUGUGAGAGUAGAGGGCAACGUCUCCUCGUCAAAAGACUCCACAUCGUUCCCAGUAAAUCUGAAGCAUGAAAGAGAAGGGAGUGCUUGCAAACCACAU